GGCCUGCGCGGAAGAUGUAACGGGGCUAAACCAUGCACCGAAGCUGCGGCAGCGACACUAUGUGUUGUUGGGUAGGGGAGCGUUCUGUAAGCCUGUGAAGGUGGCCUGUGAGGGUUGCUGGAGGUAUCAGAAGUGCGAAUGCUGACAUAAGUAACGAUAAAGCGGGUGAAAAGCCCGCUCGCCGGAAGACCAAGGGUUCCUGUCCAACGUUAAUCGGGGCAGGGUGAGUCGACCCCUAAGGCGAGGCCGAAAGGCGUAGUCGAUGGGAAACAGGUUAAUAUUCCUGUACUUGGUGUUACUGCGAAGGGGGGACGGAGAAGGCUAUGUUGGCCGGGCGACGGUUGUCCCGGUUUAAGCGUGUAGGCUGGUUUUCCAGGCAAAUCCGGAAAACCAAGGCUGAGGCGUGAUGACGAGGCACUACGGUGCUGAAGCGACAAAUGCCCUGCUUCCAGGAAAAGCCUCUAAGCAUCAGGUAACAUCAAAUCGUACCCCAAACCGACACAGGUGGUCAGGUAGAGAAUACCAAGGCGCUUGAGAGAACUCGGGUGAAGGAACUAGGCAAAAUGGUGCCGUAACUUCGGGAGAAGGCACGCUGAUAUGUAGGUGAAGCGACUUGCUCGUGGAGCUGAAAUCAGUCGAAGAUACCAGCUGGCUGCAACUGUUUAUUAAAAACACAGCACUGUGCAAACACGAAAGUGGACGUAUACGGUGUGACGCCUGCCCGGUGCCGGAAGGUUAAUUGAUGGGGUUAGCGGUAACGCGAAGCUCUUGAUCGAAGCCCCGGUAAACGGCGGCCGUAACUAUAACGGUCCUAAGGUAGCGAAAUUCCUUGUCGGGUAAGUUCCGACCUGCACGAAUGGCGUAAUGAUGGCCAGGCUGUCUCCACCCGAGACUCAGUGAAAUUGAACUCGCUGUGAAGAUGCAGUGUACCCGCGGCAAGACGGAAAGACCCCGUGAACCUUUACUAUAGCUUGACACUGAACAUUGAGCCUUGAUGUGUAGGAUAGGUGGGAGGCUUUGAAGUGUGGACGCCAGUCUGCAUGGAGCCGACCUUGAAAUACCACCCUUUAAUGUUUGAUGUUCUAACGUUGGCCCGUAAUCCGGGUUGCGGACAGUGUCUGGUGGGUAGUUUGACUGGGGCGGUCUCCUCCUAAAGAGUAACGGAGGAGCACGAAGGUUGGCUAAUCCUGGUCGGACAUCAGGAGGUUAGUGCAAUGGCAUAAGCCAGCUUGACUGCGAGCGUGACGGCGCGAGCAGGUGCGAAAGCAGGUCAUAGUGAUCCGGUGGUUCUGAAUGGAAGGGCCAUCGCUCAACGGAUAAAAGGUACUCCGGGGAUAACAGGCUGAUACCGCCCAAGAGUUCAUAUCGACGGCGGUGUUUGGCACCUCGAUGUCGGCUCAUCACAUCCUGGGGCUGAAGUAGGUCCCAAGGGUAUGGCUGUUCGCCAUUUAAAGUGGUACGCGAGCUGGGUUUAGAACGUCGUGAGACAGUUCGGUCCCUAUCUGCCGUGGGCGCUGGAGAACUGAGGGGGGCUGCUCCUAGUACGAGAGGACCGGAGUGGACGCAUCACUGGUGUUCGGGUUGUCAUGCCAAUGGCACUGCCCGGUAGCUAAAUGCGGAAGAGAUAAGUGCUGAAAGCAUCUAAGCACGAAACUUGCCCCGAGAUGAGUUCUCCCUGACUCCUUGA
rnacentral:rRNA from 1 species